AGUGAACGCUGGCGGCGUGCCUAAUACAUGCAAGUCGAACGGAGUGGCGCGCGGGUGAGUAAUUUAUAGCUAAUCUGCCCUACAAUAGAGGCCAACAGUUGGAAACGGCUGCUAAUACUCUCUAGUGUAGGAGGAUGGUAUAUUGUAUCAGCUAGUUGGUGGGGGAAUGGCUCACCAAGGGUAUGACGGAUAACUGGGCAGAGAGGAUGAUCAGACACACUGGAAGGGAGACACGGUCGAGACUCCUACGGAAGGGAGCAGUAGCGAAUAUGGCACAAUGGGGGGAACCAUGAAGCAGCAACGCGGCGUGGAGGAUGAUAAUGUGCGGAGCAGAAACUCUUUGGGUUAGGGAAGCGGUACCUAACGAAUAAGCAACGGCUAACUCCGUGCCAGCAGCCGCGGUAAUAC
rnacentral:rRNA from 1 species